AGUUAUAACAAAAAUUGUGAGAAACAGAGAGAAAGAGAGAGGAACAGUUGCUUUGGGAGCGAAUUACUCCAAUUUGGAAGUACAUUCAGCAGUGUGGCACUCUUGUUCAGAAGCUGGUCUGCUGGAUUGAUUGCAUUCAAUGCCUCUAGUUGUUUUGUGAGUACCAAGGUGGCAGAAGAUGCUUCUCUGCUGAACUCCUCUCCCACAGGACACUGAACACUGAAGAGGCACAAAAAAUUUGGCAAGGAGAACAUUAGAUGGUCAAUAAGAGAAGCAAACAGACCCUGACUAAAGGACAUGGAGAGGAACUGGAAGGAACUGGAACUGGAAGCUGUAGUGAAAAUGCAAGGCAUACAUUCAGCUGGGCCGCAGGGAGUGUCAGCCCAGCUCAUAUCUAGAUUUUUUGAAUUAGAAUAAAUUGCCACACUUUUCUGCAGUCAUGAAGGGUACUGAAAUACAUAGCAGUUACUUAAUGAUUUGCCACAGGCACCGUUUCCACUGCACAAUCACACACUAUGAAAUUUUUAGAUCUCCUAUGAUGCGUGAAUUAUAAUUUCAAUGUGGCAAGCAACGUGCAAACCCCAAACAGUCAAAAUAAUUCAAUUUCUUUGGAUUAAAACUGAACCCCAACCAUUUUAUGAUGUUUUAAACCUGGAGGCCUAACAAAACAAUCAAAACUGUCAUGUCAACUAUUAUUUAAGAUCCUGGUAUCACCAGGAAGGAAACAUUUGUGGUCUUGGUAAAUAUCACUCUUAUCAGGCAGAUACCACCUCCCGUAUGCCUCCUCUCUGUAAAACUGAUAACUUUCAAUGUGAAAAAGGCUCUCUACUUCUACGCAAGUGCCUGAUUGUAUUGACGUUUAGGUUUAUUAGAUUUGUACAUCAUUUCCCACUAAAAAAGUCUCGCGGUGAUUUACAAUCCAAGGCCCGAUUUAUUCAAUUUCCUCUUCUCGAACUGAACCAGUUUUUUACACAGUAGCUUGUGUAGAGGGCCUGCUUCAUGCUGGAGGUUAUCUGUGUGGUGGAGUGGAGAGUAUCACAUUGCUAC